UCCAUAAUAGGCUUUGUUGACUGCUCUACCAAUCCAGCGUUGAUGAUUGUGGCCAUAAACAUAACUUUUGAUCUCAUCACCCCAAAUUACUUCUGAUUGUUUUUAGCUUGUUUCUGUGCUCUUCUGCUUUUUAAUGGUUUUCUUCAGGCAACUUGACCAUCCAUGCAGACUGUUUUUUUCUUCAACAGUCCCUUUUUUUCCUGUACAUUGACUAAAAACUGUUUUAUUAAAUCCAAACGCUCUCGUCAUCCUCAGUUAGUUCAUAUGUUGCGCAUUAACUUGCAAAAACCCCUGCAUCGCCGGCUUCCACGCUAAAAUACCUUAUCUUUUCACAGGUCGAAGCCAUCUUGGUCAACAUAUUUGGAGGUAUUGUCAACUGUGCCAUCAUUGCCAACGGCAUCACCAAAGCCUGUCGAGAGCUGGAGCUCAAGGUCCCGCUGGUGGUCAGGCUCGAAGGCACCAACGUUCACGAAGCUAAGAGGAUCCUGACCGAGAGCGGCCUGCCCAUCACAGCAGCCGACAACCUGGAUGACGCCGCCAAGAAAGCGGUGGCCGCCAUCAGGAAAUGAGAGCUUCUGCCAACAUCUUCACACUUUCCUCCCCCGUGGCUUCCGUCAUCACCAGCGGCCUUUUCUAUCCACAAACCUCCAUUUUCUCUCAUCAACAUCACUUUUUAUUUUUAAAAAGAGUUCUCACUUCCAUAUUCGUAUGGAAAACCUUUUCAAAUUAUUUUACAGUCAUGCUAUUUGUUUUUUUCUAAAUGCAACAAAUUGACUGCUUUUAAUUACUUUAACCAUCGUUUUAUCUUGAUUGGAGAAAAUUCCCACCGUUUCUUUAGGAGACAUCUUAGGAGUUUCCAGAACCUCCGACAGAAAAUGGAUUGACGUUUAUCACUUUCAUUUCAUUACAUUCCAUUUUCUAGUGGAAAGAGACGCAUCUCUCUGGAUAUUAUGGUGUUUAUGUUAAUUUUUGUAGGGAAAGGAAGACAUUUUUGUACUUCUUAAGCACAAGAAAAACUGUGAACUCUUCCAAUGUAACGUAAGCUAAAGGCGGCAAGACGUUUGGUGCAAACUGUUCCCUUCAAGGCUCAGGUUAGAUACAGCGCCUUACAUGUGUCUCGGUUGAGUUCCUACGUCAUGUCUUUUGUUUAAAGUGUGUUAAUUCCAUAUAUUUGUGCCUGAGGAUUGAAGGUUGAAAGGUUUGGAUGCUGACAUUACAGCUCGAUCAUCUCUAAACUUUUUGUUUUGUGUUUUGCUUUGUGAAAUGUUGAAACUACAAUGGGGGAAAUGUAUCAUUUUAUAAAAUCAUGAAUGUAUAUUAACAACUAAAACAAAGGUUGAAAGUUGUGUACAUAAUCUAAGAGAUUAAAAACAGAUAUUUCAAAGUGA